AACGAACGCUGGCGGCAUGCCUAACACAUGCAAGUCGAACGAGACCUUCGGGUCUAGUGGCGCACGGGUGCGUAACGCGUGGGAACCUGCCUUUAGGUUCGGAAUAACUCAGAGAAAUUUGAGCUAAUACCGGAUGAUGUCUUCGGACCAAAGAUUUAUCGCCUUUAGAUGGGCCCGCGUUGGAUUAGCUAGUUGGUGGGGUAAAGGCCUACCAAGGCGACGAUCCAUAGCUGGUCUGAGAGGAUGAUCAGCCACACUGGGACUGAGACACGGCCCAGACUCGUACGGGAGGCAGCAGUGGGGAAUAUUGGACAAGGGGCGAAAGCCUGAUCCAGCAAUGCCGCGUGAGUGAUGAAGGCCGUAGGGUUGUAAAGCUCUUUUACCCGAGAUGAUAAUGACAGUAUCGGGAGAAUAAGCUCCGGCUAACUCCGUG
rnacentral:rRNA from 1 species